rnacentral:tRNA from 1 species
GGGAAUGUAGCUCUGUGGUAGAGUGCUUGCUUAGCAUGCAUGAAGCCCUGGGUUUGAUUCCUCAGUACCA